UACGUAGGGGGCGAGCGUUGUCCGGAUUUAUUGGGCGUAAAGAGCUCGUAGGCGGCUGUUCGAGUCGGGUGUGAAAUCCUGAGGCUUAACCUUGGGUCUGCAUUCGAUACUGGGCGGCUUGAGUCUGGUAGGGGGAUCUGGAAUUCCUGGUGUAGCGGUGGAAUGCGCAGAGAUCAGGCAGAACACCUGGGGCGAAGGCGGCCAGCUGGGCCGUCCCUGACGCUGAGGCGCGAAGGCGUGGGGAGCGAACGGG
rnacentral:rRNA from 1 species